rnacentral:miRNA from 1 species
UGAAACUUCGCUGGAACAGG